CCUACGGGAGGCAGCAGUGGGGAAUAUUGCACAAUGGGGGAAACCCUGAUGCAGCGACGCCGCGUGAGUGAAGAAGUAAUUCGUUAUGUAAAGCUCUAUCAGCAGGGAAGAAAAUGACGGUACCUGAGUAAGAAGCCCCGGCUAACUACGUGCCAGCAGCCGCGGUAAUACGUAGGGGGCAAGCGUUAGCCGGAUUUACUGGGUGUAACGGGAGCGUAGACGGCAGUGCAAGUCUGGAGUGAAAGGCGGGGGCUCAACCCCCGUACUGCUCUGGAAACUGUACGGCUGGAGUGCAGGAGAGGUAAGUGGAAUUCCUAGUGUAGCGGUGAAAUGCGUAGAGAUUAGGAGGAACACCAGGGGCGAAGGCGGCUUACUGUACUGUAACUGACGUUGAGGCUCGAAAGCGUGGGGAGCAAACAGGAUUAGAUACCCUUGUAGUC
rnacentral:rRNA from 1 species